rnacentral:rRNA from 1 species
UAAUACGGAGGGUGCAAGCGUUGUUCGGAGUCACUGGGCGUAAAGGGCGCGUAGGCGGCUCCAAAAGUCUGAUGUGAAAGCCCGGGGCUCAACCCCCGGAAGUGCAUUGGAAACUGUGGAGCUUGAGUUCGGGAGAGGAAGGCAGAAUUCCCGGUGUAGGGUUGAAAUCCGUAGAUAUCGGGAGGAAAACCGGUGGCGAAGGCGGCCUUCUGGAACGAAACUGACGCUGAGGCGCGAAAGCGUGGGGAGCAAACAGGAUUAGAGACCCUGGUAGUCCACGCUGUAAACGAUGGAUGCUGGGUGUGGGAUUCAAUACGGAAUUCCGUGCCGAAGCUAACGCAUUAAGCAUCCCGCCUGGGGAGUACGGUCGCAAGACUAAAACUCAAAGGAAUUGACGGGGGCCUGCACAAGCGGUGGAGUAUGUGGUUUAAUUCGACGCAACGCGCAGAACCUUACCUGGGCUUGACAUGCCGCGACAUCCCUAGAAAUAGGGCUUUCCCUUCGGGGACGCGGACACAGGUGCUGCA